rnacentral:sRNA from 1 species
AUAGUUCCGGUGGCGACUGCGGCCCAUGGCGGUGAGCGGUGUGGAGAAGACGCGCGGGUGGCAGGGCCUUGCAUUGUUGGCGGCUCUCGGUGACCCUCGUGCUACCCCCCUUUCUCCAGGCCCUAGGACAUCUUGCUGGGGAAGCAGCGGCGGUCCCAGGCCUGGGUACUCCCUGCGCGUCCCGCAGACACCGGCUUUCCGGCCCGGUUUCCAGCGCCGGGAAUCCUUCCACUGUCUGUCUCUGCCCAGGGCAACCUACGUGCAGUAACGCUGACUCCAGAGCUCACCCGUUAGGCGAUGAAGGCGGCACAGCAUCGAAAAAACAAAAUAAGAAGAAGAAAACCCGGAACAGGGCCUCUGUGGCAAAUGGAGGCGAGAAGGCCUCAGAGAAACUCGCCCCAGAAGAAGUUCCCCUAAGCGCUGAGGCCCAGAAGAGCAGGCUAUUGGAGCAAUCCGAACCCUGCGCAGCAAAAGAACGCCCCUGCCCCGGAAGAGGCAGCUGAUGCACUCCUUGUUUGGAGACUAUAGGGCUCAGAUGGAAGCCGAAUGGCGUGAGGCCCUGCGGGCUCUCAGAGCUGGUGAGGAGCUAGCCACUGGUUGAUUCAGGAAGGCCUAAUUUAAGGAGGAAGUGUCUAGGGGGUGAAAGGAAGAAGGCCCAGAGCAACAAGCCUGGUGGGGAAAGGAGAUGGCCUCAGGGAAGCCUGAGGGAGCAGGGAAACAGAAAGUGUGGACCUCUCUCUCCUUUUCCCAGGACUGAACCUGGGAAGCAGCAGGGAGGUCCUGGGAGGAGUGGGAAAGAGCAUGGUCCUAUGUUGGUCCUGUACCUGGGUUGGGGAAAGCUGCCUCAUGUCUUUGUGUCUUGGCUUUCUCUACUAGCAAUGAAGCCAUAUCCCAUAACAGUUUGAGUGCAAUUCCUGGGGCCAUAUCAGCUAGGUUCAAAUCCUGGAUCUACCACACAGUAGUACUAACACCUUUUGCAAACUACUGAACCUCUGUAAAUGGGAGAUGAUAGUAAUAUCAACCUUACAAAUUUGAGGAAUUAAUCAGUUAAUUUAUGCAAAGUGGUUAGAAUUGUAUGGGCAAACAUAACUGUACAGGUAAUGUUAGCUGUUAUUAUUCAGUUCUGACAUAUGCUGCUUCUCUCCCCCUGACAGCUGCUUAUUCAGCCCAGGUGCAGCCUGUAGAUGGAGCCACCAGAAAGAAGAGCCAAAGGGUCUGCAGGCCUCGCCCUAUAUGGAGAGCCAAAGCCACUCUGGACAUGCCUGAUGAAGAGUUUAAGUUCAAUUUCUUUUAGCUUCUCCCCCAACCUGAAACAAUCCCCCUCCCUUGGG